UACGUAGGGUGCGAGUGUUAAUCGGAAUUACUGGGCGUAAAGCGUGCGCAGGCGGCUAUUUAAGCUUGCUGUGAAAGCCCCGGGCUUAACCUGGGAACUGCAGUGAGGACUGGAUGGCUGGAGUGUGGCAGAGGGGGGUGGAAUUCCACGUGUAGCAGUGAAAUGCGUAGAGAUGUGGAGGAACACCGAUGGCGAAGGCAGCCCCCUGGGCUAACACUGACGCUGAGGAGCGAAAGCGUGGGGAGCGAACAGG
rnacentral:rRNA from 1 species